GGGAGCGUGGCGGAACUGGCAGACGCAGGGGACUUAAAAUCCUCCGCCUCCGGGCUUGUGGGUUCGAGUCCCACCGCUCCUACCA
rnacentral:tRNA from 1 species